UUAGACAAGCUCAUUGUCUUGAGGAAGAAGAAUCUCGGUUUUUAUAAACUAUUUUUUAUUCGGUUUAUUUUAGACAAGCUCAUUGUCUUGAGGAAGAAGAAUCUCGGUUUUUAUAAACUAUUUUUUAUUCGGUUUAUUUUAGACAAGCUCAUUGUCUUGAGGAAGAAGAAUCUCGGUUUUUAUAAACUAUUUUUUAUUCGGUUUAUUUUAGACAAGCUCAUUGUCUUGAGGAAGAAGAAUCUCCUAAACGUGAUGCUCAACUACUUGAUCUUAUUUCAACAAAACAUGAUUUUUCAGGACCGCCGGAUGUUACCCACAUAAGUGCAAAUUGGGGUCAUCCUUUGACAGUGGAAUUCCACCCACGGAAUUAUUCAGAGGAAGUCGUCCUUCGAAUGGACAGAAAACCAUUGUUAACUCCAGCAGAAACUAUUCGAUGGAGAGAAGGUGAAGGUGGGAGUGGAGAAAGAACAGCGGGAGAGGGGAAACCAUCAACUUUUGCUGCUAUUGAAAAUCUCGACAUAGACUAUGAGAAGGUAAAGUGGACACCAAAGUCAGUAGAGAUGCCGUCACUGCCGAGGAUUGAAGAGGAUGACAGUGGAAUAACUACAGAAACUCCUUUGAUUUGUGGUCUACUUGAAGUAGACAACACUCGACCACUGUC